AUUCUCUUUCCUGUGAACCUCCAGAACAAUUUGCUUGAACUUCUCUUGUAGAACAAACCUUAUUCCGGCAUCUAUCAGAGACAAUAAGGGUCUUAGAAUCUAGAAAACAGGGUCCUGGAAGGGCACACUUCCCACACAUCUGUUUCUUCCACAGGACCUGCAUGCUGCCUUGCUGUUGUAGAUCUGUUCCGUAGGCAGUUGUGGAAUUAAAAGCAACACCCCAUGUAGCUGAAUGUUCAGGGAUCACAGGCCACUGCCGUUUCCCACCCACUCCCAGCCUCCGGGGAGUCUUAGCCUGUGGAGUCCCAGGAAACACAUGGAAAAGGGAGCCUUGGAACCAGAGUGGAGUGACAGCUAAGGGGUGCUGGAGGCCCCCGUGACCUUGACUGUGCACAACGCCCAGACCAGCUCGGACUUUUUCCUCUCCUUAACAUAUUUAAAUGGAGUCAAUAUUGGGGUCAGCUUCACACACAGAGCCUUCUUCAGCUUUAGAGGUGAACAGCCCCCCCUCCCAGCCCCCUCAGCCCGUCGUCCCUGCUAAGCCCGUGCAAUGCGUCCAUCAUGUGUCCACUCAACCCAGCUGCCCGGGACGGGGCAAGAUGUCCAAGCUGCUGAACCCAGAGGAGAUGACCUCGAGAGAUUAUUACUUCGACUCCUACGCCCACUUUGGGAUCCACGAGGAAAUGCUGAAGGAUGAGGUGCGGACACUCACUUACCGGAACUCCAUGUACCACAACAAGCACGUGUUCAAGGACAAAGUGGUACUGGAUGUGGGGAGUGGUACUGGGAUCCUUUCCAUGUUUGCUGCCAAGGCAGGGGCCAAGAAGGUGUUUGGGGUGCCCUCACCCUUCCUCAAGGCGUGGCCAGAGGCGUCAGAAACUCCCUCAGUGCCCCUUUGCGAGUACUUCUCAAGGGAAUGGUCCCUGCCCGAGGCCUGGGGGUAGUCUGAGGGGCCCCCAAGUGUGGAGAUCGAAUGCUCCAGUAUUUCUGACUACUCAGAGAAGAUCAUUAAGGCCAACCACCUGGACAGCAUCAUCACCAUAUUUAAGGGUAAAGUGGAAGAGGUGGAGCUGCCUGUGGAGAAGGUGGACAUCAUCAUCAGCGAGUGGAUGGGCUACUGUCUGUUCUAUGAGUCCAUGCUCAACACGGUGAUCUUUGCCAGGGACAAGUGGCUGAAACCUGGAGGGCUUAUGUUUCCAGACCGGGCAGCUUUGUACGUGGUAGCGAUUGAAGACAGACAGUACAAGGACUUCAAAAUCCACUGGCUACUGGGAAAUAAAUGGCCAGCAGAAAGGAGAAAAAAAUCUAAUCCCUUGGGUGAUCUGUGCUCUGAAUGAUUGAAGGUGGGGCAGUCCAGCUGAGGAGAUAAGUCCCAAAUUAACCCAUAACCCAAAUUAACCGGUGGGAGAAUGUCUAUGGCUUUGACAUGACCUGCAUCCGGGACGUGGCCAUGAAGGAGCCUCUAGUGGACAUCGUGGAUCCAAAGCAAGUGGUGACCAAUGCCUGUUUAAUAAAGAUACAGCGCAACGACUACGUCCACGCCCUGGUCACCUAUUUUAAUAUUGAAUUUACCAAGUGCCACAAGAAAAUGGGGUUUUCCACAGCCCCUGAUGCUCCCUACACUCACUGGAAGCAGACCGUCUUCUACUUGGAAGAUUACCUCACUGUCCGGAGGGGGGAGGAAAUCUACGGGACCAUAUCAAUGAAGCCAAAUGCCAAAAAUGUGCGAGACCUCGAUUUCACAGUAGACUUGGAUUUUAAGGGACAGCUGUGUGAAACAUCUGUAUCUAAUGACUACAAAAUGCGUUAGCACACGUGGGAAGCUGCAGAGAGCAACGAGAAAAGGAACUCUCACCUCGAUCUGCCGUGCCGUCCCAAAGAAUACCGUUUGCAGGACUACACACUUGAAAACCAGAGUUUUCAACUCUGCCUUGAAGAUUGGUGAACCCCCCAGGGCUCCCGUGGGCUCUGCCACUGGACAGAAGGCCUCCAGCUCCUCCGCUCUGCCCUGAGAGCCCUUCACGAAGGCUUUGUGUUGCCAACAAAGAGCGACCUCGCGAGCUGUGGCUGGGCCCCGAGGGUGGAAACGUAUUCGCGUCUCCCCGUCUCCUCCUUAACUGUGACUCUCCGGGUCUUCUGAGUUUUGCAUGCUGCGGGUGUCUAGGACAGAUUGCUUCCACUAGAACCUGGAGACAUAGCAUCUUUGAUAGCAUAAGCCAGAUUAUCUGUGUGUGCGGUGGUGUGUGUGUGCGUGCAUGUGUGAAUGUGAGCAGUAUAGUUGAUGUUUACCCACAAAUACCUGUAUAUGCAUGCAUAUACAACCAAGUGGGUAGACCUAGGUGUUCACUCAGAAGGGUGUGUGCGUGUGUGCGUGCGCGUGUGCCUAGAAUAUAUAUUACUCUCAGAGGAGAUUCUGUUGCUUUUGAAUAGGAAUUUGUUUUGUGAUUAGUUUGGCCCUUCCCCACCCCUUACCAGAUGUUAAGCAGCUAUGAAACAUUCUCUGUACUAGUUCUGGUCUCCUUUUGACUGGACUGUGGCUCUGAACCUUGAGCAUAGUACCACGGACUCCGUGGGCGCUCAAUAAACACACAUGAGAACAAA
rnacentral:sRNA from 1 species